AGUGAACGCUGGCGGUAGGCCUAACACAUGCAAGUCGAACGGCAGCACAGUAAGAGCUUGCUCUUACGGGUGGCGAGUGGCGGACGGGUGAGGAAUACAUCGGAAUCUACUUUUUCGUGGGGGAUAACGUAGGGAAACUUACGCUAAUACCGCAUACGACCUACGGGUGAAAGCAGGGGAUCUUCGGACCUUGCGCGAUUGAAUGGGCCGAUGUCGGAUUAGCUAGUUGGCGGGGUAAAGGCCCACCAAGGCGACGAUCCGUAGCUGGUCUGAGAGGAUGAUCAGCCACACUGGAACUGAGACACGGUCCAGACUCCUACGGGAGGCAGCAGUGGGGAAUAUUGACAAAGGGCGCAAGCCUGAUCCAGCCAUACCGCGUGGGUGAAGAAGGCCUUCGGGUUGUAAAGCCCUUUUGUUGGGAAAGAAAAGCAGCAGGUUAAUACCCCGCUGUUCUGACGGUACCCAAAGAAUAAGCACCGGCUAACUUCGUG
rnacentral:rRNA from 1 species